rnacentral:rRNA from 1 species
GAUGAACGCUGGCGGCGUGCCUAAUACAUGCAAGUCGAGCGAACAGACGAGGAGCUUGCUCCUCUGACGUUAGCGGCGGACGGGUGAGUAACACGUGGAUAACCUACCUAUAAGACUGGGAUAACUUCGGGAAACCGGAGCUAAUACCGGAUAAUAUAUUGAACCGCAUGGUUCAAUAGUGAAAGACGGUUUUGCUGUCACUUAUAGAUGGAUCCGCGCUGCAUUAGCUAGUUGGUAAGGUAACGGCUUACCAAGGCGACGAUGCGUAGCCGACCUGAGAGGGUGAUCGGCCACACUGGAGCUGAGACACGGUCCAGACUCCUACGGGAGGCAGCAGUAGGGAAUCUUCCGCAAUGGGCGAAAGCCUGACGGAGCAACGCCGCGUGAGUGAUGAAGGUCUUCGGAUCGUAAAACUCUGUUAUUAGGGAAGAACAAAUGUGUAAGUAACUAUGCACGUCUUGACGGUACCUAAUCAGAAAGCCACGGCUAACUACGUG